GGUGCCCAUGUGUGCGCUGGGCCCGGGCCCAACAGCAGUAAAGCUCGUUGUGGUCACGACGUCACCAACGCUGAUGUGGAGGUACUACCUUCGCAUUAUUAUUUUCAUCAGGUCGGUACGGCCACCGGCACUGCCGACUUGCUGGAGGGAGGCUGGUUGGAUUUUGCCGGGUCGCAGACGUAGCUGACGCACGAUAAAAGAUUAUGGCCAAUUUCAUCUUUAUGCACACCAGGGAUAUGGAUUAAAAACCACCAAACAAGUUCCGGUUAUUUACUGGUUUUGUCGACAUCACCAAUUCUACAAUGACCCCCUUAUUGAGUAUGAGAUUCUCGUAUACCAAAGUAGUACAGUAAUGUUUGUUAUUUUAUUUUGAUGGAAACUGGAAGAAAUUUUUUGAAGAACUUUAAGAGUGAUGGUACAAUAUUUUGGGUUCAUUUUAUAUUUGUUUUUUAUAUUAAUUUAUAUGUUUUUUUUUGUUCACAGCUUCGUCCGAGUGUUAAAAAAUUAAAUUAAGGAAAAAAAAUGUCAAAAAAUGAAGACAUCGCGAAAUAUUAAAAAUGAUAUAUAAAAUGUAACUUACAUUCU